GACCUUGGGUCGUGGCGCAGCCAGGCGCAGGGGAACUAGCGGCUGCAGCGGUGACAAGAGCUACGAUUCAACACCUCGCGAGGGCCUGGGGCCGUCGCCGUCUGUCCUGAAACGGUGAAUGGUGAUGGUUUCCAAACCAUUGUCGGCCGGCCCCGGGUACCACGAGAGGAGAGGCAGGGGCGACCGGAUGGCGAAAACAUAACGAUUAACGCAUACAGCCGACCGACACUGCACCGGCGCUUCAGAUCGAGGUUUGAGCAGUCAUAACUCUGCGGCAUUCUCUCUGUCUCCUGGACGCUGGCGUUUUUUAAUCAGGAGCCAGAACCAACCUCCUCACUGGAUUACUCAUUUGGGACCUUGAGCCUGCAGGAUCAGGGUCAAGGUCAAGCAGAAAUGCCCCGGGGCCGAAAACGGUCGGAGGAGCAGCUGGACGCGCCGUCGCGGCACGCCAGCUCGAAGCGGCACCGGGCCAGCCAGCAUCACCUCAGCGGGCGCCGAGUGACGGCCUUCAACGAGAAGCUGUGCCUGGAGUGGUUCAGGGAAUACACCACCGCCGACGAGCCGGACACGAUCGGUGAGGCUUCGUGGGGCUGCCGGGAUCCGAGGGCACACCACAGUCGCCGCGGAUUAGCGCUCACUGCAAUACGACCGGACAGGCGGCGGCCGUCCGAACGCACCGCCCGCUGACGGGCUCCGACACCUCUGACAGGCUGCGCCAUUGAACCGGCGCCGGUCGGACAAAUGGGAGCUGAUUGGGCACCGUCUUCCCGGUAGCGUACACUGUAAAUCAGUGAUGUAGGAAUCCGUUGGCUCCGCUGGAUGACUGAGUGCUGGCUCGGUGUAGUUUGCCGUUAUGGGUGUGCUGAUAGGGAGUGCUGGUGAGCCAGGGAUGCACGCUUUUCGAAAUCGACGUUGUUCGUGAUUUGGAUUCCUUUAUGAUUUCGACACUGGUCGCCUGGCACAAGAUUUCCAGGCAGGAUCGACACUAGGGACCCAGAGUGUUACACACGUAAUGUUACACACGUCGCACCACACACUACAGCACCACGGCUGAACUACUAUAACACGUCACGUUUCCAGCGUGUGGCAAGCAGUACGUCGGCGGAAAAAUCAGCAGUAUUUACCUCACACCAGAGAGGGCAGGUGCGUCGGUCGUGGGCCCUGUAGCCCAGACACGACCUUGACCGUGGUAGUGGGAGUGACGUUUAGGGCUGGCGCCACGUCCGGUACGACCGAGGGCGUGUACAAUGUAGAUGACAGAUCGACGUGAACAGGGCCAUCAACAAGGAACUAAAGAUCAGCAGCAAGGGCUGCGAAACAAGACUUGCAUGUUGUGGCUGGUUGGUGCGUGCCGCCAUCAGGGGUUUGUUGGUUUUAUUCGCUUGCUGUCGUGUCCCAGAGUCGCAUCAAAUAUUUUCCGCUGCCCUGCAGUAUAGGUAGAAUUAACAUUUCAACACUUGAAACGCGUCACACAUUACCUGACCGUCCAACACCCAUGGCGAAGAAUAUUUAGCACUUACGUCGACCAAUUACCAUACCGAUAUCACUAUGCCAAACCGAGUACCAUUGCCACCUAAACCCCAGCAAACAAUGCGACUGGCUGAAUUUAAGAUGUAUUGACUGUUUUGAGGGCAUACAUCAGCCACAACGAGGACCAUGCAAGUAACCAUGCCCAUCA